CCCGACUGCUAUCAGAGUGGGACUAAGCCAUGCGAGUCAACAUAGCAAUAUGUGGCAUACGGCUCAGUAACACGUAGUCAACAUGCCCAGGGGACGUGGAUAACCUCGGGAAACUGAGGAUAAACCGCGAUAAGUCACUACUUCUGGAAUGGGUAGUGACUAAAAUCUACAUGGCCCCUGGAUUGGACUGCGGCCGAUCAGGCUGUUGGUGAGGUAAUGGCCCACCAAACCUGUAACCGGUACGGGCUCUGAGAGGAGGAGCCCGGAGAUGGGCACUGAGACAAGGGCCCAGGCCCUAUGGGGCGCAGCAGGCGCGAAACCUCUGCAAUAGGCGAAAGCCUGACAGGGUUACUCUGAGUGAUUUCCGUUAAGGAGAUCUUUUGGCACCUCUAAAAAUGGUGCAGAAUAAGGGGUGGGCAAGUCUGGUGUCAGCCGCCGCGGUAAUACCAGCACCCCGAGUGGUCGGGACGUUUAUUGGGCCUAAAGCAUCCGUAGCCGGUUCUACAAGUCUUCCGUUAAAUCCACCUGCUUAACAGAUGGGCUGCGGAAGAUACUAUAGAGCUAGGAGGCGGGAGAGGCAAGCGGUACUCGAUGGGUAGGGGUAAAAUCCGUUGAUCCAUUGAAGACCACCAGUGGCGAAGGCGGCUUGCCAGAACGCGCUCGACGGUGAGGGAUGAAAGCUGGGGGAGCAAACCGGAUUAGAUACCCGGGUAGUCCCAGCUGUAAACGAUGCAGACUCGGUGAUGAAUUGGCUUCUCGCCAAUUCAGUGCCGCAGGGAAGCCGUUAAGUUUGCCGCCUGGGGAG
rnacentral:rRNA from 1 species